ensembl:lincRNA
UCAGAAUCCAAGUGAAAUCUAACACUAUAAAACAAUGCCAAGAGCAAACGAAGGAAAGCAAAGAUCUGAAACGGCACCCCUGCCCAUCGUUUUGAUUCUUCAAGUUUCUGAAAAUGUAUGAGAAGCACCAAGCGCAGUCUCAGACAUCCACGUGUCCAGUCGUCAAAAGGGACCUGAAAAGCAGCAUUGACAGUGACCAGGUGCUCAAGAAGUUUAUGCUUGUAAGACCUGAUGACUUCCCACCAAGAAUCCCACCAGUUUCCUUGGAACCUUCGCUCAUGACAAUUCAAGAUGAGUGUUACACACUGGAGAAAGAGAUCUGCAUUUGGGGCCUUCAACUGAGCAACUCAGAGAUUGCCAGACUUCGAGCUGUACCUCGAUGGCAAUUACUUGGAAUAUUCCGGAGCAUUGGCUCUUCUCAGGCCCAGAGCAGACUACGCAGAGAUGCAGGGGAAAGACCAGCCUGCCCCUGCCUCACCAGACACUGGAAAUCCCCCUCCGCGGCUCCAAGCCAAACAGAGGAAGUUCAACUAUGAACCAGAUUACAAAAUCGUCUGAAGCUGUAACAGUGAAAGCUACUUCAGGGAAGAAAAAGAAUAACAAAGGAAUCAAGAAGAAAAUUGAAGGUCUGAUGGAAGCUGCUCCUUGGUUGGUGAAGUUGCAUUUGGCAGAUAUUGGCAUAGAUAGAAAAGGAAAAGAAGGAGAAAAUGGUUUGUUGGAAUUCAUUCAAACUUUAGCACAAGAAGUCCUCAAAAUGAAAGCAACUACGUCUUCAACAUACCGAGCGGAGGAGGGAGACUGCAGCUGAGGAAGCAGGGCCUGCCUGACAAAUAAGCAUGGGUUGUGUGACACGCGGGGGACUGGCCAGAGGAACAACUGGCGGAGCGGACGCUGAGCAGGCCGUGAGGAGGACAGAUCUGUUUGGCUGCAUUCAAGGCUGCCGAUUGUUCCUGCCUUUUGGGUGCUUAUGAUGGCAGACAAGCCCUCAUGAAGGUAAACCAAAGGAGAGAAGUCACAAGGGACCCUCCCGUCGGCCCCACCAUGCCUGGACAGCCGCUGCAGCCUGAACUUUCUGCCUCGCUCCCGCUUUCCCUGUUGCAUUGAACUCUGGUGCAUCACUCGUUCCUGUUCUUUUUCUUGGGAGAAAAAGUUCUCCUGCCAUGCAGUGUGUCAAAACCGUACUCGUCUCCCCGACCCGCCUUCCCACCUCCCACCCCUCUGCUCCCUCCUGGCUUCUGUUCUCAAAUUUCACUACAGCAGACAUCUCUCUCCAGAGUUCUUGCCUCAGCAAAGGCCGGUACCAUUCCUCAAGCGAAACCAUCCUUCUCCCUUUCAGCCUUUCAUCUGCGUUUCCCUCCUUAGUCUUUGAAACUUCUCACCCGCUGGGUUUAUUUUACCCUCCUCUGGCACCAGCCUUCCUUCUUUGUUAGAUACUUAGCGUUUACAGCCAUCUCUAGGCAGAUGUGGGGGUCAUUCAGUGAGAAGAGAACACAUGUUUUGUGUGCUCACUCCGAUGGGUGUCUGUCUGGCUUAUAAAGUUGGUGUGGUCCAAGUCCUAUCUGCCACCACCAUUGUGCUCUGCAGAGAGAUUUACUCUCUCCACUCUGUUCCUAGCCCUGAAGGCCUCCCAUGUUCCCCCAGUUCAAACUUCACCUCUCCCAUGAGGAUUUCCCUUGCUGCAUUCUAUACCCUCACAGCCCGUAACACACCACUCAAC